rnacentral:rRNA from 1 species
AGAGUUUGAUCCUGGCUCAGGAUGAACGCUGGCGGCGUGCUUAACACAUGCAAGUCGAGCGAAGCGCUUCGAUUGAUUCUUCGGAUGAUUUUGAAGCGACUGAGCGGCGGACGGGUGAGUAACGCGUGGGGAACCUGCCUCAUACAGGGGGAUAACAGUUAGAAAUGACUGCUAAUACCGCAUAAGCGCACAGUACCGCAUGGUACGGUGUGAAAAACUCCGGUGGUAUGAGAUGGACCCGCGUCUGAUUAGGUAGUUGGUGGGGUAACGGCCCACCAAGCCGACGAUCAGUAGCCGACCUGAGAGGGUGACCGGCCACAUUGGGACUGAGACACGGCCCAGACUCCUACGGGAGGCAGCAGUGGGGAAUAUUGCACAAUGGAGGAAACUCUGAUGCAGCGACGCCGCGUGAAGGAAGAAGGUCUUCGGAUUGUAAACUCCUGUUGUUGGGGAAGAUAAUGACGGUACCCAACAAGGAAGUGACGGCUAACUACGUGCCAGCAGCCGCGGUAAAACGUAGGUCACAAGCGUUGUCCGGAAUUACUGGGUGUAAAGGGAGCGCAGGCGGGAAGACAAGUUGGAAGUGAAAUCUAUGGGCUCAACCCAUAAACUGCUUUCAAAACUGUUUUUCUUGAGUAGUGCAGAGGUAGGCGGAAUUCCCGGUGUAGCGGUGGAAUGCGUAGAUAUCGGGAGGAACACCAGUGGCGAAGGCGGCCUACUGGGCACCAACUGACGCUGAGGCUCGAAAGUGUGGGUAGCAAACCAGGAUUAGAUACCCUGGUAGUCCACACUGUAAACGAUGAUUA